ACGAAGGGUGCAAGCGUUAAUCGGAAUUACUGGGCGUAAAGGGUGCGUAGGCGGUUCGUUAAGUCUGUCGUGAAAUCCCCGGGCUCAACCUGGGAAUGGCGAUGGAUACUGGCGAGCUAGAGUGUGUCAGAGGGGGGUAGAAUUCCACGUGUAGCAGUGAAAUGCGUAGAUAUGUGGAGGAAUACCGAUGGCGAAGGCAGCCCCCUGGGAUAACACUGACGCUCAUGCACGAAAGCGUGGGGAGCAAACAGGA
rnacentral:rRNA from 1 species